AAUAUUUGUCAAUGGAGGCAACUCUGAACCAGCCACGUCGCGUGAAGGAUGACGGNCCNNUGGGUNGNAAACAUCUUUUAUACNNNNNUAAAGUGAGCCACGAGUGGCUUUUUGCAUGUACUGGAUGAACAAGGAUCGGCUAACUCAGUGCCAGAAGCCGCGGUAAUACGGAGGAUCCAAGCGUUAUCCGGAUUUAUUGGGUUUAAAGGGUGCGCAGGCGGAAGAUUAAGUCAGCGGUGAAAUUUUGCAGCUCAACUGUAAAAGUGCCUUCGAAACUGGGUUCCUUGAGUGUAGAUGAAGUAGGCGGAAUUUGUGGUGUAGCGGUGAAAUGCAUAGAUAUCACGAGGAACUCCGAUUGCGCAGGCAGCUUACUAAGCUACUACUGACGCUCAGGCACGAGGGCGUGGGGAGCAAACAGG
rnacentral:rRNA from 1 species